rnacentral:rRNA from 1 species
GUGAGGAAUUUUCCGCAAUGGGCGAAAGCCUGACGGAGCAAUGCCGCGUGAAGGAUGAAGGCCUAUGGGUUGUAAACUUCUUUUCUCAGAAAAGAAUUAUGACGGUAUCUGAGGAAUAAGCAUCGGCUAACUCUGUGCAAGCAGCCGCGGUAAGACAGAGGAUGCAAGCGUUAUCCGGAAUGAUUGGGCGUAAAGCGUCUGUAGGUUGUUUAAAAAGUAUUCUGUCAAAGAUUAGGGCUUAAACCUAGAUAGGCAGAAUAAACUUUUAAGCUAGAGUUUGGUAGAGGCAGAGGGAAUUCCCGGUGGAGCGGUGAAAUGCGUAGAUAUCGGGAGGAACACCAAAGGCGAAGGCACUCUGCUGGGCCAAUACUAACACUGAGAGACGAAAGCGAGGGGAGCAAAUGGGAUUAGAAACCCCGGUAGUCC